rnacentral:rRNA from 1 species
CAGUCGCCGCGGUAAUACAGAGGUGCCAAGCGUUAGGCGGAAUCACUGGGCUUAAAGCGUGUGUAGGCAGAUGCCUAAGUACCUUGUGAAAUCCCACGGCUUAACCGUGGAACUGCUCGGUAUACUGGGUGUCUAGAGUUUGGAAGAGGGUCGUGGAAUUCCCAGUGUAGAGGUGAAAUUCGUAGAUAUUGGGAAGAACACCGGUGGCGAAGGCGGCGACCUGGUCCUUGACUGACGCUGAGGCGCGAAAGCGUGGGGAGCAAACAGGAUUAGAUACCCCUGUAGUCCCUGUCUCUUAUAC